AUACGGAGGGGCAAGCGUUAAUCGGAAUUACUGGGCGUAAAGCGCACGUAGGUUGUCCUGUAAGUCAGGGGUGAAAGCCCGCGGCUCAACUGCGGAACUGCCCUUGAUACUGCAGGACUCGGAUCCGGGAGAGGUCAGCGGAAUUCCAGGUGUAGGAGUGAAAUCCGUAGAUAUCUGGAGGAACAUCAGUGGCGAAGGCGGCUGACUGGACCGGCAUUGACGCUGAGGUGCGAAAGCGUGGGUAGCAAACAGGAUUAGAUACCCUGGUAGUCCACGCUGUAAACGAUGGAUGCUAGGUGUCGGGGCGCAAGCUCCGGUGCCGCAGCUAACGCAUUAAGCAUCCCGCCUGGGGAGUACGGUCGCAAGGCUGAAACUCAAAUGAAUUGGCGGGG
rnacentral:rRNA from 1 species